GACGAACGCUGGCGGCGUGCUUAACACAUGCAAGUCGAACGAAGUGGCGAACGGUUGAGUAACGCGUAAUCAACCUGCCCUUCAUAGGGGGCCAACAGUUGGAAACGACUGCUAAUACCGCAUACUGAAGGAGGGGAUUGCGUCUGAUUAGCUAGUUGGAGGGGAAACGGCCCACCAAGGCGAUGCUCAGUAGCCAGUCUGAGAGGAUGAACGGCCACAUGGUGACUGAGACACGGCCCAGACUCCUACGGGAGGCAGCAGGGGGGAAUCUUUCGAAAUGGACGAAAGUCUGACGGAGCAACGCCGCGGGAGUGAUGACGGCCUUCGGGUUGUAAAGCUCUGUUAAUCGGGACGCGGUACCGGAAGAGAAAGCCACGGCUAACUACGUGCCAGCAGCCGCGGUAAUUC
rnacentral:rRNA from 1 species